CUGACUGUUACCUUUUUCUGGGAUUUUCUCCGUUCAAUAAGUUAUGCUGAUUUAUUGUUAUUUCAUAGUGUUACAUUUUAGUGAGUAUCACAGAAUUGCAAUAUUGUGAUAUUAUUGUUGCUGUGGGCAUAUCAUUUGGCAUCAUGAGUCACCUGACGGUUCUUACUCCUGCAAAGCCUGUAAUGAUUAUGCUUUUCAUAUCUUUCGAUUUUCAGCUCAGGAAUGGGGUUGCAUUUACAACUGACAAAUCAGAUUGUCCCCUUGGUGUUUUUGUAGUGCAUGGCAUCUCCUUUCAUUUUUAUGCUGAUGAUUGUCAGAUCUAUCUUCCACUAGCACAGAACAACUCCAACUCAGUCCACCAACUCACUGACUGCCUUAAGGACAUUAAAGCCUGGCUUUCUUUUAACUUCCUCAGUCUAAAUGAGAACAAGACUGAGGUAAUGUUGUUUGGACCAAGUGGCGGCCACCCCCCCAACAUCGACCUAGGCUCCCUCUCACCCUACCUAAAGGAGGUCGUCACUAAUCUGGGAGUUAAAUUUGACCCGGAUUUUAAAUUUGAGAAGCAGAUCAGCGGAGUGGUACAAAAAAGUUUUUAUCAGCUACGUCAAAUAGUGAAGGUGAAGCCCAUUUUAUCAAGACCUGACCUGGAAAAAUUAAUCCAUGCUUUUAUAACUACCCGUCUUGAUUACUGCAACUCCUUGUACGUAGGGAUCAGCCAGGCUUCCCUUGCCCGCCUGCAGCUUGUGCAGAACUCUGCUGCACGUCUCCUGACACAGACCCGCAGGCGUGAGCACAUCACCCCCAUCCUGGCAUCCUUACACUGGCUCCCUGUUCAGUACAGAAUUCAUUUUAAGCUUUUAGUAUUUGUUUUUAAGGGCCUGAACAACCUUGCUCCACCCUAUAUUUCGGAGAUGCUCCAGCCUUAUCGCCCACCCCGACCCCUAAGAUCAGCUGAUCAGCUUUUACUGACGGUCCCCAGUACUAGGCUGAAGCUCAGAGGGGACAGAGCGUUUGCUGCUGCUGCCCCUAAGCUCUGGAAUGAGUUGCCCUUGAAAAUUAGACAGGCCUCCUCAUUUCCUGUUUCUAAAUCCCUUUUAAAAACGCACUUUUACUCAUUGGCUUUUAGUACAUUGUAGUGUUAAUUUGUUUUUUAUCAUUUUAGCACUUGCUGUGAGCCUCCUUAUUUAUACACUUAUUUAUUCUUUUGCAUUACUGUAUUUCUGCUUGCGUUAUCUUGUUUUUUGAUUGUUUUAUUUGUUUUUAUGUCACUGUACAGCACUUUGGCUACCCUUGUGGUUAUUUUAAAUGUGCUAUACAAAUAAAGUUGAUUGAUUGAUUGAUUGACUGUAUCACAUCCUAUUGUUACAAAAGUG